rnacentral:rRNA from 1 species
GAUCCUGGCUCAGGAUGAACGCUAGCUACAGGCUUAACACAUGCAAGUCGAGGGCAGCAUGAACUUAGCUUGCUAAGUUUGAUGGCGACCGGCGCACGGGUGAGUAACGCGUAUCCAACCUGCCCUUUACGCGGGGAUAGCCUUCUGAAAGGAAGUUUAAUACCCGAUGAAUUCGUUUAGUCGCAUGGCUUGAUGAACAAAGAUUUAUCAGUAAAGGAUGGGGAUGCGUCCCAUUAGAUAGUAGGCGGGGUAACGGCCCACCUAGUCUUCGAUGGAUAGGGGUUCUGAGAGGAAGGUCCCCCACAUUGGAACUGAGACACGGUCCAAACUCCUACGGGAGGCAGCAGUGAGGAAUAUUGGUCAAUGGACGAGAGUCUGAACCAGCCAAGUAGCGUGCAGGAUGACGGCCCUAUGGGUUGUAAACUGCUUUUAUAAGGGAAUAAAGUGAGUCUCGUGAGACUUUUUGCAUGUACCUUAUGAAUAAGGACCGGCUAAUUCCGUG